CCCACCCUUUCUUUCCACCUCUCCCUCUCUUAAGUCUUUCUGCAUGACUCUUUCUGAUGAGAGCGUUCAGUCACACUGAAGAACGUGUUUAGUGGAUAUGAGAGACAGACACGUUUGCACACAGACAGACAGACAGAUAGAUGUAAAUAUGAAAAAGAGACAGGAGGACAGACAAUAGGCAGACAGACAGAAGGGCUAAGAAGUUGAAUAAAGAUAGACAGACAGACAGACACAUAAAGGCAAAGAUGUUGAAUAAAGAGAGACAGACAGACAGACAGACAGAAAAUGGCAAAAUAUCAGAAAUAAAGACAGACAUAGAGAAAGGAAAAGAUGAGAAAUAACAACAGACAGACAGACAGAUGGAUAGAUAGAAAAAGAGCCAAAGCAGUAAGACAGCCAGCCAGCUAGCCAGAAAGACAGACAGGUAGAGAGACACAUAGUCAGAAGGACAGAGAAAAACAAAUAUAAGAAAUAAAGAUAGAUAGAAAGACAGAUAGGAAAAGGCAGAGAUGAGAGGAAAAGGCAGACAUACAGACGGACAGACAGACAGACAGAUAGAUAGAUAGAUAGAUAGAUAGAUAGAUAGAUAGAUAGAUAGAUAGAUAGAUGUAAAGAUGAGAAAGAGACAGACAGACAGACAAAAAAGGCAAAGAUGAGAGAGAAAGGCAGGCAGACAGAAAGGCUAAGAUGUGAAAUAAAGACAGACAGACAGACAGACAGACAGACAGAAAGACAGAGAGUGAGGGGCCGAGAUGAGAGAUGAUGACAGACAGAAAUAAAAAGGCAAAUUUGAGAGGUAAAGAUAGAUAGAAAGACAGGUAGAAAAAAGGCAAAGAUAAGAGGAAAAGGCAGACAGACAGGUGGAUAAAUGCAAAGAAGAUUAAUGAAGAGAGAGACAGACAGAUAAAGAGACAGAGACAGAUAAAGUCUAGAUUAAAGACAGACGGAUAAGGACAGUAAAACGUAAUGACUAAGGCUAAUGAUUAGCUCGCUAGCACCCAGCAGUUCCGUCUUUCAUACAGACAAAGUAAAAGAAGAAACAAGACAAAACUCUCAGGAACGUCAACAACCGCAAAAAUGACAGCGUUUUGACGUGUAUCGUGAACUGCGAACUAAACUUCCACGGUAUUCCGUUCAUCCUGUGACUGUUUCCCAUCCGUCGGUUGCAUCUCUCAGAGGAACCCACUGGAACACACACCACAAGCAGCGUUAUAUCUAUCCCAGCGUUAGAGUUUACUGAACGUAGAGUGUCCUGUGUGUCUCAGCGGUGUACGGUAACUCAUUAGUGAAGCAAACGUCAUAAUCUCAUAUCACACACACACACACACACACACACACU
ensembl:lncRNA